rnacentral:lncRNA from 1 species
GCGACCCACACACAGGAGCUGGCGAAGGCCACGUGUUGGAAUGACAAAGGAGCCCCAUGGCAUGGCACUGCCUUUGAUGGAGAAGAAUGAGGAGGAUGUUAAGCGUCCACGCUCGAAGUUUUAAGGGCUCCAGCUGAAUUUUAAACAUCAAGCUGGCUAAGAAGUCUUCUCCCCAGGAGUGUGGGAAGCUCCGGAAAGCUCCUCGGGCCUGCAGUGGGGGUGCUGCUGGGGGUGGGCAGGAGAGCACUGUGCGCUUAAACAUGCCCAGCCAAGCCCCUCACCUCUGAUCGCUCCACCGGAGCCGGCCUGAAGUGCUGCAGCUCUGGAAGCCACCUCCUUGGACUCUCAGAGGCGCGUGCCCAGCAAGGCCUGUCUGGCGCAGCAGGUGCCGGACCUGAUCCCCAAGUGUGGAGAGUGAAGGGAGAAGACCCGCGGCCACCUGCUUUCAGGUGCAGCAGUGUCUGGCUGGCUGUGAGCGGCUGUAUGGCAGUGUGUCAGUGAGGCUGGGAGUGCAAGCGUGUGUUUGUG